rnacentral:rRNA from 1 species
AGCGAACGCUGGCGGCAGGCCUAACACAUGCAAGUCGAACGAACUCUUCGGAGUUAGUGGCGGACGGGUGAGUAACACGUGGGAACGUGCCUUUUGGUUCGGAAUAACUCAGGGAAACUUGUGCUAAUACCGAAUGUGCCCUUCGGGGGAAAGAUUUAUCGCCAUUAGAGCGGCCCGCGUCUGAUUAGCUAGUUGGUGAGGUAACGGCUCACCAAGGCGACGAUCAGUAGCUGGUCUGAGAGGAUGACCAGCCACACUGGGACUGAGACACGGCCCAGACUCCUGCGGGAGGCAGCAGUGGGGAAUCUUGCGCAAUGGGCGAAAGCCUGACGCAGCCAUGCCGCGUGAAUGAUGAAGGUCUUAGGAUUGUAAAAUUCUUUCACCGGGGACGAUAAUGACGGUACCCGGAGAAGAAGCCCCGGCUAACUUCGUG